GGAAUUUCGUAAAGGUUGUUGUGAAUUUUGUGAUUUUGAAGGAAAUUGUUCGUUCGGAAGUACCGAAUUCUGAAUUCUCUGUUUGAUAAUUCUGCGUUGUUCGAGAAAAGUGGUUAUUGCGUUGUUAUAUUUCAUGCGAAAAUUCUGAAAAAUUUUAGCCGCAUUUGGUGAUUUCUGUGAUUGUAUGGACAAUUUUGAAAUCUGGUUAGAGAUCUGUUGGCUUUUGUUGUUCAGAGUACUGCUUGAAAGAUUUAAGAGACUUUAAAAGGCUUGUUUCUGUUGAUCAUUU
rnacentral:misc_RNA from 1 species